rnacentral:rRNA from 1 species
UACGUAGGGGGCAAGCGUUAUCCGGAUUUACUGGGUGUAAAGGGAGCGUAGGCGGCGAUGCAAGUCAGAAGUGAAAGCCCGGGGCUCGACUCCGGGACUGCUUUUGAAACUGUAUGGCUAGAUUGCAGGAGAGGCAAGUGGAAUUCCUAGUGUAGCGGUGAAAUGCGUAGAUAUUAGGAGGAACACCAGUGGCGAAGGCGGCUUGCUGGACUGUAAAUGACGCUGAGGCUCGAAAGCGUGGGGAGCAAACAGG